rnacentral:misc_RNA from 1 species
UCUCCGUAGGUGAACCUGCGGAGGGAUCAUUACACAAAAAAAUAUGAAGGCUGUACGCAGCUGAAUUAUUUUUCACCCAUGUCUUUUGCGCACUUGUUGUUUCCUGGGCGGGUUCGCCCGCCACCAGGACCACACCAUAAACCUUUUUUAUGCAGUUGCAAUCAGCGUCAGUAAAACAAGUAAUUAAUUUACAACUUUCAACAACGGAUCUCUUGGUUCUGGCAUCGAUGAAGAACGCAGC